AUGCCACCCCCAUCCCUGUGCACCCCAGCCCCUGCCCCCGGGUGCCCCAGUGCCGGUGCCCCCAGGUCCCGCGACCUGUGCGACAACUUCUGUCACCGCUACAUCACCUGCCUCAAGGGAAAGAUGCCCAUCGACCUGGUCAUCGAGGAUCGGGACGGCAGCUGCAGGGACCGGGGACUGCCAGCCUGCCCAACCUCCCAGACCAGAAUAAUAUAUGGAUUCGAGACCAUGAGGAUAGCGGGUCUGUACAUCUGGGGACCCCAGGUCCAUCCAGCGGGGGCCUGGCCUCCCAGAGUGGUGACAACUCCAGUGACCAAGGAGAUGGGCUGGACACCAGCGUGGCCUCUCCCAGUUCUGGUGGGGAAGAUGAGGACUUGGACCAGGAGCGACGGCGAAACAAGAAGAGGGGGAUCUUCCCCAAGGUGGCCACAAACAUCAUGCGAGCCUGGUUGUUCCAGCACCUCUCGCACCCGUACCCCUCGGAAGAGCAGAAGAAGCAGCUGGCGCAGGACACGGGGCUCACCAUCCUGCAAGUCAACAACUGGUGAGUGGCCCAGGAGGGCCCGCGGGCCGGCCCGGGGCGGGAGCCUGGGAGCUGUCCGCGGUGCUGACGGAGACCCCGAGCCCGGCGGAGCCGCUGCCCCUGCUCGCCCCGCCCUGCCUCCCCCGCCGCUGUCCUCCCGGCCCGCUCUGUGUUCGUUUUGGCCUCUCUCCCACUCCCUCUUUUCAUUCCCCUCCGUUUCCAUGACCGCUUCCCAGGUUCAUUAA
rnacentral:lncRNA from 1 species